UACGGAGAGUGCAAACGUUGUUCGGAUUCACUGGGCGUAAAGGGCACGUAGGCGGCUCGGCAAAUCGGUCGUGGAAUCCCGACGCUUACCGUCGGAACGGCGGCCGAAAAUACCGGGCUCGAGGGCGUGAGGGGUCACUGGAACUCCUGGUGAAGCGGUGAAAUGCGUAGAUAUCGGGAGGAACACCGGUGGCGAAGGCGGUUCUCUGGGCCUUACCUGACGCUGAGGAGCGAAAGCGUGGGGAGCGAACAGG
rnacentral:rRNA from 1 species